UGCUUGUCUCAUUUGUUUUCUUAUUAUAUACAAUAAGUCUAGCUCGCCUUGGAGGAAGCUUAUUAGGAAUGGGAAGUCCUCCUUUCCUUCUGGACAUCAAUGAAGUUUGGAAAGGUGGGAAGAAAUAGGCAUCAGCCAGUGCAACGACACUUUUAUCAGGUUCCAGUAGAACCACCUCAAUAAAGCGCAUGCCAUCUCUGACCUAAAAUGUUUUUGCAAAAAAAUAAAUAAAUGAAAACAAUUAGAGGAAUUGGGAGCAAAUGAUGUCCUGUUGUUCC
rnacentral:lncRNA from 1 species